rnacentral:misc_RNA from 1 species
GUUGGGUUGCCUUUUAUUUUACUGGGUUGCUUUAGGCUGGAUUUUUUUAGGCAACCCAUUUUUAAUAUAUUAUCUAAUAUACUAAAUUUAUUAUAAAGUAUGUUUCAUUCUAUUAUCAGCUCGGUGAAGAUCGACUUAGGCUCGGAUCUUAGACCAAUAAAUAUGUUUGAUGAUCUUGGCAAACUCUGCUAUUUGUUUGGCUCAACUUGAUGCACACAUGGCACAGCUAUAGAUAUAAUAUUUGAUUUGCGUGUGCUUGUGACCAAUGAGUAAAAUUUAUUUUUUAUAUAAAUUUAGGGAUGUUCUAUGCGUAAGAGCCGAAAUAUCAUCAGCUCUUUUUUAGUUGAUGAGGGGAUUUGUUAGUUUUUAGAGAUUAUUACUUGUGUCGGGGGUUUCUAGAAUUUUUAAUUUUACUUUUU